GACGAACGCUGGCGGCGUGCUUAACACAUGCGAGUCGAACGGAAAGGCCCUGCUUUUGUGGGGUGCUCGAGUGGCGAACGGGUGAGUAACACGUGAGUAACCUGCCCUUGACUUUGGGAUAACUUCAGGAAACUGGGGCUAAUACCGGAUAGGAGCUCCUGCUGCAUGGUGGGGGUUGGAAAGUUUCGGCGGUUGGGGAUGGACUCGCGGCUUAUCAACUUGUUGGUGGGGUAGUGGCUUACCAAGGCUUUGACGGGUAGCCGGCCUGAGAGGGUGACCGGCCACAUUGGGACUGAGAUACGGCCCAGACUCCUACGGGAGGCAGCAGUGGGGAAUAUUGCACAAUGGGCGGAAGCCUGAUGCAGCAACGCCGCGUGCGGGAUGACGGCCUUCGGGUUGUAAACCGCUUUCGCCUGUGACGAAGCGUGAGUGACGGUAAUGGGUAAAGAAGCACCGGCUAACUACGUG
rnacentral:rRNA from 1 species